GACGAACGCUGGCGGCGUGCUUAACACAUGCAAGUCGAACGCUGAAGCUCAGCUUUUGUUGGGUGGAUGAGUGGCGAACGGGUGAGUAACACGUGAGUAACCUGCCCCCUUCUUUGGGAUAACGCCCGGAAACGGGUGCUAAUACUGGAUAUUCACUGGUCUUCGCAUGGGGGUUGGUGGAAAGGGUUUUUCUGGUGGGGGAUGGGCUCGCGGCCUAUCAGCUUGUUGGUGGGGUGAUGGCCUACCAAGGCUUUGACGGGUAGCCGGCCUGAGAGGGUGACCGGUCACAUUGGGACUGAGAUACGGCCCAGACUCCUACGGGAGGCAGCAGUGGGGAAUAUUGCACAAUGGGCGCAAGCCUGAUGCAGCGACGCCGCGGGAGGGAUGGAGGCCUUCGGGUUGUGAACCUCUUUCGCUCAUGGUCAAGCCGCAACAAUGGUUGUGGUGAGGGUAGUGGGUAAAGAAGCGCCGGCUAACUACGUG
rnacentral:rRNA from 1 species